CCUACGGGAGGCAGCAGUGAGGAAUAUUGGUCAAUGGACGAGAGUCUGAACCAGCCAAGUAGCGUGAAGGAUGACUGCCCUAUGGGUUGUAAGCUUCUUUUAUAAAGGAAUAGAACGAGGCACGUGUGCCUUUUUGCGUGUACUUUAUGAAUAAGCAUCGGCAAACUCCGUGCCAGCAGCCGCGGUAAUACGGAGGAUCCGAGCGUUAUCCGGAUUGAUUGGGUUUAUGGGGAGCGUAGGCGGAAUACCACGUCAGCGGUAAAAUCGCGGGGCUCAAUCUCGCUCCGCCGUUGAAACUGGCGUUCUUGAGUGGGCGAGAAGUAUGCGGAAUGCGUGGUGUAGCGGUGAAAUGCAUAGAUAUUACGCAGAACUCCGAUGGCGAAGGCAGCAUGCCGGCGCCCAACUGACGCUGAAGCACGAAAGCGUGGGUAGCGAACAGGAUUAGAUACCCGGGUAGUC
rnacentral:rRNA from 1 species